rnacentral:lncRNA from 1 species
CUGAUGCUUGGACAUAUUUUGAUAUAAAUAUAGCUUGGUGUAAUUACGAACUUGAUUUCAAUUUAAAUGAGUGCAUGUGGCUGAGUUAGAUCUCUGAGUCGCUCCAGGAGGUGACGCAGUCCUUUCACACCGCGUGUGGAGUGAGCACCGAGCACAGUGCGAUCUGCUUUGGUGAGAACAAGACCCUCCGUGGAGGCAUACGUGCUGUCCAGGGCCUGGUGGCAGACGCAGAAAGGCUCUCUCUGGACUUCUGUCCCCGAGGUCCCUGGGGGAGUGGUAGGAGUGUCAUGUGUCUGCAUGGGUGGGGGGAUUAGGAGUUUUUAAUGACCUUUCAACAUAAAAUGCUUACUAAUACUCUUAGAAUUUAAAAAUCACUGGUGAAGAAAUAUAGUCUCAAGUGGCCUUUGACCAAGGUAUGAAUGCUGGCCUGCCAUGGCGACUGUGGAGUCCCCUACCUGUGCUCACUCCUGGGUCUGGCUCGCUAUCAAAAGACACAAAACCAAAUGAAGCUGGCAAACUGGAUCCUGUGUGUUUGGUGUCUCUGUCCCCCGCCCCAGCAGGGAGAGCUCCUGGCCCACCAGGUGCCCACCAUGACCUCAGGAGAACUUUCUUCCCUACUGGUGAGUCACCCCCAGGACUGGUCAGCCAGCUAAGGCCAUCCCCAGGGGACAGGGUUGAGGAGGCCACGGAACUCAUGCGUUUGCCCACCGCCCAGUGGAGACACUCUCCUAGUCUGCCGAGUUUGCAGAAGCCAGCUCUUCAUGUCAUUUCUAGCCUGACACAAAGUCACCGUGUCCUUGGGGUUCUGAGAAAUCGAAUCUCACCUGCGACCUUCCUUUCACAAUGCACUUUCCAAAGACUUUGUGGAAGCUCCGCUGCUCAGUUUGGGUUUUUGCUCAGCUUACUGGGCCCAGUAACCUGCGGAGUAACCUUCUGAGUAGUUCUUCAUUUAAUCUGGGGAGAGACUGUUGUCCACCGAAUGGAAGGCGUUGCUGAAGCCGUAUUUCUUUUUAUUCCUGUGGAAAUAAAUAUAUAUAUAUAUAUAUAUAUAUAUUUUACUGGCUUUCUUGACCUCUGUCAAGAGAUAUAGUGAACUAGACAGCAUGGAUCUGGCCUGAAGGGCUGAGAGUGGCAAGCAGCAGAACCCACCUGCCCGAGCGCUCCACGUCCGAAUCCUGAAACCUGUGAGUGCCUGACCUCACUCAGCAGAUGGGAGUCAGUAAGGGCUUUGUGAUAGGGAGCCUAGGGAGCCCGUCCCCUUUGGGGAGGACCCAGUCUACUUAGAUGGGUCUUUAAAAGCAGACACGUUUUGCCAGUGUGGUGGCGAACACCUGUAAUCCCAGAAAUGCAGGAGGCCGAGGCAGCAAGAUUGCAGAUUUGAGGGCAGCCUCAGCAACUUAGUGAAACCCUGUCUCAAAAUAAAAAAAUAAAAAGGGCUGGGGUUGUUGCGCAGUGAUGGAGCACCCCGGGGUUGGGUCCCAGGACUCUGGAUAUGGGGAUAAAGCAGAGGCUCUGUCCUCAUCAUAGUGAGAGGUGUCUGUCAUAGAAUGGCCAGAGAAGCAGCACCGCUGGGUGUUUAGUAGAAGAUGGAAGCCGGUUUCCUCCUGGACCCUCCGGCAGGCAGGCAGCGCUGUGGCCUCGUGGUGGUAGCUCAGGGAGCGCCAUGCUGCACCUGACGGCAGGGUGAGCAGGUGCUGCCACGGGGCUCUGGCCCCACUCUCCUCCCAAGGGUCCCUCCUCCCGACUCUCCCCUGCAGCUGCGAGGUGAAGCCCUUUCCUCCUUCCACGGCCAGACUGUUCUCUGAUCAGGGCAGACUGGAUCAGAUGCCCCUCCUGGAAGUGCCAGGUUCACACCUGGGUUCCAAGCAGCUGCAGGAAUGGCUGUGCUGGGUCCCCACAGACACGGGGAGCCCAGAGGAGAGGCAGGAGGGGCUGGGACCUCUCCGUGCCUCUGGGUCACUGCCGCUCCGAGGCUCACUCCGGGGUCUCUCUCAGUUGUUGCCAAGAGCCUCUGUCCUGUGGUCUCUCCACGGGCACAGCGCAGGCCCUCAGCUUCGGGGUCCCCUGGGCCUUCUUGAUUCCCGC